CCGCAGACGGGACACAGAGCCUGCUUCAAAAAUUCUUUCGGACCCCGAUAGAGGGACCUGAAUUUACUCGCUUGGUAAGAGAUUAUUUUGCAGGGGAGAUCAGGAACUUUUUCCUGGGUGACAAUGAUUUUGGGCAGGGUAAUUUUCUAAUGUUUGGAGCUGUUUGUAGAUGUGGAUAUUUUCCAGAAGAUUCAUUGCUGACCAGAACCAGAGUUUCCAUCAAGGGUGGUGGGUUGUCUUUAAUUGAAAUUCCUGACUUUACAGUGUCUAGAGGACCGUGGCAGUUUAUCUGAAAAUGGCGACCCAAACCAUGGACGUGGAGCCUGUUCAGACCGUGAACGCAAUUGAUGCCGCCAUCGCCGAGCUGAAGCUGAUGGCCGGCCACAGCCAUGAAGCUAAUGUGCUGGCUGGCAGGCUGCUUCAUUUUAAGAUGAGAGAAGUUUGUACCCAGACUGUGGCUCAGUUUCUGGAUGCCUUUUCCAGCGUGUUGGAUGAAGGGCUGUGUGCCUUUAUUGGAAACUACAGCCAGAGUUUGGAUGAGAUGGUUCAGCGGUAUGUGUCUGGGGGCUUUGCGGCUGUGAAGGAAAAUGGUUAUCUGGCAGCUGCUAGGUUUUAUGACACCUAUGUGCUUAGAAAUGAUGUCAAGUAUGAGAGUGUCCCCCACAUGUUUAUGCGCAUUUCGGCAUUUUGUGCUUAUCACUGCAUACAGAAUGAGUGUCUCUUCAAGACCUUGAAGCAUAUGGAGCUAGACAGGGGGAAUGUUGUGGAGAAUGCCAUGGAUUUGAUUACUUAUUUCUUUGAGAUGAUUGCUUCUCAGCAGGUGUGCUGUGCCACGCCCGUGAUGAGAUCCGCUGGUUUGAGGGAUGCUAAUUUAAGUAGUUGUUUCAUCUUUGCCCCCGCCCUGGACUCUGAGGAAAAAACUGUGGAUGCAGUGUUUUCUGAGUUAACAAAGCUGUUGGCGUGUAAGUCGGGAGUGGGUAUGGAUCUGUCCACCUACUCUCAUGGAAAGAACCUGCAUGCUGUCCUGAAGGCCCUUGAUGGACAGAUCACUUACUUUAAUGAUCACAAUAUUAGGCCCGUCAGCGUGGCUGCCUAUAUGGAGAUUUGGCAUACCAACAUCAUGGACUUUCUGACUGCGAAGCUUCCAGAGAACCCAGAACGAUGUGGCAACUUAUUUCAAGGAGUGUGCAUACCAGAGAUUUUCUUCAGAACCUACAAAAAUGAUCCAGAGUCCAAUUGGUACCUGUUUGAUCCCAAGAAGGCCGAAGUCCUAACAAACACCUAUGGGUAUAUGUUUAGUAUAGCCUACGCAGGAUUAGUGGAGCAGGGGGCAUAUGAAGCAGUGGUUCCCAUUAAGAGCGUGAUGUUCGCUCUUGUUUCCUGCAUAAUAAAGACUGGGGGGCCUUAUAUUUUGAACAAGAAAGCUAUAAACAGACAUGACUGGCAUGAAUGGUCCACACAUCAGUAUAGGGCCAUUAAUUGUGCAAAUCUUUGUGCAGAGGUGAUACAGUAUCCAGGAGAGAACGUGUCCACCUGUAACCUGGCCAAUAUCUGUCUGCCAAAGUGUUUGGAGGAUGACAAAUUUGUCUCUGGAAAGAGUUGUCUACUCACGUACGAGCGUGAGUUUUCCAUUGAGAGGCUGGAGAGGGCCACAGAGGCUGCAGUGUUUAUCAUCAAUGCCUGCAUCCAUGGUGGCACUUUACCUACACAGAGGGCCAGGCGGGGGCAGAGUGACAGGUCUAUGGGUAUUGGAGUACAAGGAUUAGCAGAUACCUUUGCUAUGAUGGGGUUGGGAUAUUUUGAUGCAGGGAGUGAGAUACUUGAUCAGAAGAUAGCAGAGACCCUGUAUUUCAAUGCACUCAAUACCAGUAUCAACUUUGUGAAGAUAGGCAAGGGGGAACCCUAUGCUAACUAUGAGCAGAGUAAGCAUUCCAUUGGGGUGCUCCAUUGGCAUGACUGGGACAUGUGUAGCCCCAUGGUCUAUACAAGAGAUGAGUGGGAAGAUUUGGCAAGGUCCUGCGAGGUACAUGGUGUAUACAAUUCACAAUUUGUGGCCUAUAUGCCUACUGCUGGCACUGGGCAAAUCACAGGUUACUCAGACUCCUUCUAUCCAUUUUAUUCAUCCAUGUCAUCCAAGGUGUCAAAUAAAGAAGAAAUCUUGCGACCCAACAUGACCCUCAUGAGCAGAAUGUCAGAUAGUGAGGUCCAGACCCUUAGGGAGUGUAACUGGGAUAUUGCCAAACUUCCAGAGCCCCUGCUGCAGAAAUAUAGAAUUUUCCUGUCAGCCUUUGAUUAUGAACCCAGCCUGUAUGUACGCAGAGCUAUGCUUAGGGCACCAUUCAUUGAUCAGAGCCAGUCUAUGACCUUGUUUUUGAAUGAAGAUUAUGCAAGCAGUGCUUCAAAUAUAAAGAAUUUGUUGAUGUAUGGGUGGGAGUGUGGGUUGAAAACCUUGAUGUACUACUGCAGAAUACGUAAAACAGCAACCUCUAACGAAUUUGAAUGUGUCAGAAGGAAUUCACAACAGAAAUAUGUAAACUGUGCUGAUGGGGAAGGUGCUGGGGGGGAGGAGCCUUCUGAAAAUUGUAUAAAGGCUGAGGGUGCGACGUGUUCACUAUCUGUGGGUGCUUCUUGUCUGCACUGUCAAUAACUGAUUGCUCUCAAUAAAAUCAGUAAAAUUUA
rnacentral:tmRNA from 1 species